UGGGGAAUUUUGGACAAUGGGCGAAAGCCUGAUCCAGCAAUGCCGCGUGUGUGAAGAAGGCCUUCGGGUUGUAAAGCACUUUUGUCCGGAAAGAAAUCCUUGGCUCUAAUACAGUCGGGGGAUGACGGUACUGGAAGAAUAAGCACCGGCUAACUACGUGCCAGCAGCCGCGGUAAUACGUAGGGUGCAAGCGUUAAUCGGAAUUACUGGGCGUAAAGCGUGCGCAGGCGGUUUGCUAAGACCGAUGUGAAAUCCCCGGGCUCAACCUGGGGACUGCAUUGGUGACUGGCAGGCUAGAGUAUGGCAGAGGGGGGUAGAAUUCCACGUGUAGCAGUGAAAUGCGUAGAGAUGUGGAGGAAUACCGAUGGCGAAGGCAGCCCCCUGGGCCAAUACUGACGCUCAUGCACGAAAGCGUGGGGAGCAAACAGGAUUAGAUACCCUGGUAGUCCAGCGCCCUAAACGAUGUCAACUAGUUGUUGGGGACUUCAUUUCCUUAGUAACGUAGCUAACGCGUGAAGUUGACCGCCUGGGGAGUACGGUCGCAAGAUUAAAACUUAAUGAAUUGACGGGGUCAUAGCUGUUUCCU
rnacentral:rRNA from 1 species